GAUGAACGCUGGCGGCGUGCCUAACACAUGCAAGUCGAGCGAACCCUUCGGGGUGAGCGGCGGACGGGUGAGUAACGCGUGGGUAACCUGCCCUGUACACACGGAUAACAUACCGAAAGGUAUGCUAAUACGAGAUAAUAUAUUUUAAUCGCAUGGUUAAGAUAUCAAAGCUCCGGCGGUACAGGAUGGACCCGCGUCUGAUUAGCUAGUCGGUGAGGUAAUGGCUCACCAAGGCGACGAUCAGUAGCCGACCUGAGAGGGUGAUCGGCCACACUGGAACUGGGACACGGUCCAGACUCCUACGGGAGGCAGCAGUGGGGAAUAUUGCACAAUGGGCGAAAGCCUGAUGCAGCAACGCCGCGUGAGCGAUGAAGGCCUUCGGGUCGUAAAGCUCUGUCCUCAAGGAAGAUAAUGACGGUACUUGAGGAGGAAGCCCCGGCUAACUACGUGCCAGCAGCCGCCGUAA
rnacentral:rRNA from 1 species